rnacentral:rRNA from 1 species
GCAAAACGCGAAGAACCUUACCAACCCUUGACAUGGAGGGGACCGUUCCAGAGAUGGUUCUUUCACUUCGGUGACCCUCACACAGGUGCUGCAUGGCUGUCGUCAGCUCGUGUCGUGAGAUGUUCGGUUAAGUCCGGCAACGAGCGCAACCCACACUUUCAGUUGCCAGCAUUCAGUUGGGCACUCUGAAAGAACUGCCGGUGAUAAGCCGGAGGAAGGUGUGGAUGACGUCAAGUCCUCAUGGCCCUUACGGGUUGGGCUACACACGUGCUACAAUGGCAGUGACAAUGGGCUAAUCCCAAAAAGCUGUCUCAGUUCGGAUUGGGGUCUGCAACUCGACCCCAUGAAGUCGGAAUCGCUAGUAAUUGCGUAACAG